rnacentral:misc_RNA from 1 species
GAUGAAGAACGCAGCGAAAUGCGAUACUUGGUGUGAAUUGCAGAAUCCCGUGAACCAUCGAGUCUUUGAACGCAAGUUGCGCCCGAAGCCAUUAGGCCGAGGGCACGCCUGCCUGGGCGUCACACGUCGUUGCCCCCCCAUCUACUCCUUCGGGAUUGCGGGGGGCGGAUGAUGGCCUCUCGUGCGCCUCGUCGCGCGGUUGGCCUAAAUGCCAAGUCCUCGGCGACGCACGCCACGACAAUCGGUGGUUGCGAAACCUCGGUUGCCUGUCGUGUGCGGUCGUCGCGCAUCGAGGGCUCGAAAAAAUUGCCGGGCUUCGGCUCGACUUUCAACGCGACCCCAGGUCAGGCGGGGUUACCCGCUGAAUUUAAGCAUAUCAUAAGCGGAGGA